rnacentral:rRNA from 1 species
CAAGUCGAACGAGAAAGCGGGGGCAACUCCGCAAGUAAAGUGGCAGACGGGUGAGUAACACGUGAACGACCUACCUCCGAGUGGGGAAUAACACCGCGAAAGCGGUGCUAAUACCUCAUAACAUCUCAGGGUUGCAUGACCCGGAGAUCAAAGGCGAAAGCCGCUCGAAGAGGGGUUCGCGCCUGAUUAGCUAGUUGGUGAGGUAACGGCCCACCAAGGCAACGAUCAGUAGCCGGCCUGAGAGGGCGUACGGCCACACUGGAACUGAGACACGGUCCAGACUCCUACGGGAGGCAGCAGUGGGGAAUUUUGCGCAAUGGGCGAAAGCCUGACGCAGCAACGCCGCGUGGAGGAUGAAGGCCUUCGGGUCGUAAACUCCUGUCAGCGGGGACGAAAGCCCAAAAGGUUUGACUGUACCCGCUGAGGAAGCCACGGCUAACUCCGUGCCAGCAGCCGCGGU